UACGUAGGGGGCAAGCGUUGUCCGGAAUCAUUGGGCGUAAAGAGCGUGUAGGCGGCCAGAAAAGUCCGCUGUGAAAACUCGAGGCUCAACUUCGAGCUGUCGGUGGAAACUUUCUGGCUAGAGUCCGGAAGAGGAGAAUGGAAUUCCUGGCGUAGCGGUGAAAUGCGCAGAUAUCAGGAAGAACACCCGUGGCGAAGGCGGUUCUCUGGGACGGUACUGACGCUGAGACGCGAAAGCGUGGGGAGCGAACAGG
rnacentral:rRNA from 1 species